UUCCCAAAGCUGAAGGCCCUGCUGUGGAGUGGCUGCAGCAGUGUUAAAGACGGAAACGUUGCUGUGUUUCAGUUUUAGGCAAUCUUCUGCUUUCUAUUUCCACUAUCACAAAGCAUUUUGCAUUCACAAAACAUCUUUUCCUUUUUAAAAGCUGCAAGUAGGCUUCUUGGAUGAGGAAAGAAUCAUUUUGUAUUAGUAGGAACCACAAACGCAAUUGCUGGAAAAAUCAAUGUAGCCUUUGCUUUGGAGCACCUGGUGCCACACUAUGCAUGUUACCUACAUACAUGUGCAGAUGAAGUAGAAAAAUGAGCAGCCUAAGACAGGCUCUUUUUGUUCAAUAGUUGCAGGCAGAGGAAUGAUCACAGAUGGAAAAAAAUCACCCUGCUCAGCUGUAGAGUCAGGCUGCAAUGUGAAAAUGUAAGCAUGAAUCAGAAGGUACCAUCAGCAGGCAGGAGCAUCUCUCCUCCUCUGUGGAGGACUCAGGUGUAGGCACGCUGCUAAUGGAAGGGCUCUUUCCCUGAUGGUUUCUGCAGUGACACCUUUCCUUCUGGGAAGCACCUGGGGCUUCUCUGUGCCUGCAUGCAAACCCUGCUGCCUCAGGAAGAGGAGGUCUGCUCUUCCUCCCCAGCUGCCUCUCCCCGGAGGGGUUUCCCCACCAUGAUCUCAUGGAGCAAUAAUGGGAAAAGUCAUCAGAGAUGUGAAACUGCUCAUGAGUUGUGGUUGCAGAAAAGGGAAAAAUGCUCAAGUGAAAGACUCGGAUCAGGUGUGUGGUUUUUAUACCAUGAGCUAUAUAAAGGAUUGGGACUAGCCACCUACAUUCUGGCUGAAGCUUUGGAGAGUUCUAUUGCUGAUGAUUUCAUUUACUGCUAUUUCUCCAAUGUGCCUCUGGAAGUUGCAGUGGGAACAGAGGAACAGCAUUCCCCUACCGUGGAGGCUUCCCCAAGGGUGAAGUCCAGCAGCAGUGCAGACAUCGGCGACACCGCUGGGAGCCAGAUGAAGACUUUGGGAAGAGAGUGUGGGUUCCCUGUGCAGAGUCCAGUGACGAAAUCUGUGAACAAGGUAAGAGCAAGGGGUUGUGGCUGUGAAGGGUUUUCUUGCUUCCUUUUCCCCUUCCAAACCCGUUAUCGAAGCGUUAGACAUGAAAUGUAGGAUGUGUGUAGCACAGGAACUGAUAUUCCAAGUGCUAAGUGAAAGAGCCUAAAAAGAUCAAGCUAAAUAGGGCUUCUUUUUAAUGCAUUCCAUUAUGGUGGUUUGGGUUUUAGAACAGUUUGUAUUGUAUCCAAAUGAUCUACAUGUGAAUAAUUGUUACCAGCCUCCUGACACCAGGACCUAAUUAGGAAGUAAGAGCCUUAAAUAGGCCAUUUGCA
rnacentral:lncRNA from 1 species